CCUACGGGUGGCAGCAGUGGGGAAUAUUGGACAAUGGGGGAAACCCUGAUCCAGCCAUGCCGCGUGAGUGAUGAAGGCCUUAGGGUUGUAAAGCUCUUUCGCCAGGGAAGAUAAUGACGGUACCUGGAAAAGAAGCCUCGGCUAACUCCGUGCCAGCAGCCGCGGUAAGACGGAGGAGGCUAGCGUUGUUCGGAAUUACUGGGCGUAAAGCGUGCGCAGGUUGUGAGAUCAGUUGGAUGUGAAAGCCCGGGGCUUAACCUCGGAUGUGCAUCCAA
rnacentral:rRNA from 1 species